UACAGAGGUCUCAAGCGUUGUUCGGAUUCAUUGGGCGUAAAGGGUGCGUAGGCGGCGCGGUAAGUCGGGUGUGAAAUCUUGGAGCUUAACUCCGAAACUGCAUUCGAUACUGCCGUGCUUGAGGACUGGAGAGGAGACUGGAAUUUACGGUGUAGCGGUGAAAUGCGCAGAUAUUGGGAAGAACACCAGUGGCGAAGGCGGUUCUCUGGGACGGUACUGACGCUGAGUACGGCGAAAGCGUGGGAGCGAACGAG
rnacentral:rRNA from 1 species